GGGGUUGUGGCUCAGAGGUUGAUUGCCUGUCUAGCAUGCAUGAGGCACUGGGUUCAAUCCUCAGCACUACA
rnacentral:tRNA from 1 species